rnacentral:rRNA from 1 species
CAGUAGCCGCGGGAACACGUAGGGUGCGAGCGUUAAUCGGAAUUACUGGGCGUAAAGCGUGCGCAGGCGGUUGUGUAAGACAGGUGUGAAAUCCCCGGGCUUAACCUGGGAACUGCGCUUGUGACUGCACAGCUAGAGUAUGGCAGAGGGGGGUGGAAUUCCACGUGUAGCAGUGAAAUGCGUAGAGAUGUGGAGGAACACCGAUGGCGAAGGCAGCCCCCUGGGCCAAUACUGACGCUCAUGCACGAAAGCGUGGGGAGCAAACAGGAUUAGAGACCCCUGUAGUCCCUGUCUCUUAUAC